GACGAACGCUGGCGGCGUGCUUAACACAUGCAAGUCGAACGGAAAGGCUCCAGCUUGCUGGAGUACUCGAGUGGCGAACGGGUGAGUAACACGUGGGUAAUCUGCCCUGCACUCUGGGAUAAGCCUGGGAAACUGGGUCUAAUACUGGAUAUGACCUUUCUCCUUAUGGGGUUUGGUGGAAAGUUUUUCGGUGUAGGAUGAGUCCGCGGCCUAUCAGCUUGUUGGUGGGGUGAUGGCCUACCAAGGCGACGACGGGUAGCCGGCCUGAGAGGAGGAUCAGCCAAACUGGGAGUGGGACACGGAGCAGGCACGUAAGGGAGGAAGGAGUGGGGAGUGGUGGACAGGGGGCGAAAGCGUGAGGGAGCAAUGCCGCGGGUGUGACGAAGGCCUUCGGGUAGGAAAGGAAGUUUGUGCGGAAAGAAAGACAUGGACCUAAAAAGGUCGGGGGAUGACGGUAACGGAAGAAUAAGCAACGGCUAACUACGUG
rnacentral:rRNA from 1 species